UUCAUUCACUACUGUAAGUCGCUCUGGAUAAGAGCGUCUGCAAAUGACUGAAA
rfam:Salmo salar isolate Sally breed double haploid chromosome ssa17, whole genome shotgun sequence.